rnacentral:lncRNA from 1 species
UUUUUGGGGAAAUUUUUGGGGAUUUUUUUGGAAAUUUGGGGGUAAAUUCUGUGGAUUUUUGGGUUUUUUGGGGGGGAAUUUUUGGGGGAUUUUUGGGGAUUUUUUCGGGAAUUUUUUGGGAUUUUUUUGGGGAUUUUUCGGGGAAUUUUUGGGGAAUUUUUCGGGUCCAUUUUGUGGAAUUUUGGGGGAGUUUUGGACAAAUUUGGGGGGAAUUUGGGGAAUUUGGGGGAGUCCCAGGUGAGUUCCAGCUGUAUCCAGGUGUCCCCAGCUGUCCCCAGGUGUGUCCAGGUGUCCCCAGGUGUCUCCAGGUGUCUCCAGGUGUAUCUCAGGUGUCUCCAGUUGUCCCCAGGUGUGUCCCCAGGUGUCCCCAGGUGUCCCCAGCUGUCCCCAGGUGUCCCCAGGUGUCCCCAGGUGUCCCCAGGUGUCCCCAGCUGUGUCUCAGCUGCAGGGCCGGAAGGGCCGGGCGGUGACGCCCCCGUGCAGCUCCAGCCCCGCCCUGGCCCAGGCCAGCAGGUCCCCGCGGGCGGGUGACGCACACCUGGCCAGCGCCGCCACCUCGGGCGGGGCCAGGGCGCGGCUCCACAGGUGGAACUCGGCCAAUUCGCCCACGAACGCCUGGGUGGCGUCAAAACGACCCCCGAGGGAGUCCUGGGGGAGAGAGACAGGGGGGAUACACCUGAGGAGGGGUGAAAUACACCUGGGACAGGUGAAAGACACCUGGGGAGGGAUGAAAUACACCUGGGGAGGGGUGAAAUACACCUGGGGAGGGGUAAAAUACACCUGGAGAGGGGUGAAAUACACCUGGGGACACACAGACACACCCGGGGACAGGUAAAAUACACCUGGGGAGGGGUGAAAUACACCCAGAGCACACACAGACACACCUGGGGACACCUGGGACAGGUGAAAUACACCUGGAGACACACAGACACACCUGGGGACACGUGGGGAGGGGUGAAAUACACCUGGAGAGGGGUGAGACACACCUGGGGACACACAGACACACCUGGGGACACACAGACACACCUGGGGACACACAGACACACCUGGGGAGGGGUAAAACACACCUGGGACACACCUAAACACACCUGGAGUUCACCCAGACACACCUGAACUCACACCUGAACUCACACCUGAACUCACACCUGAACUCACACCUGAACUCACACCUGAACU